rnacentral:rRNA from 1 species
GAUGAACGCUGGCGGCGUGCUUAACACAUGCAAGUCGAACGAGAAGUGAAGACGGAAACCUUCGGGCGGAAGGCUUUAUUUCGAGUGGCGGACGGGUGAGUAACGCGUGGGUAACCUGCCUCAUACAGGGGGAUAACAGUUGGAAACGACUGCUAAUACCGCAUAAGACCACAGCACCGCAUGGUGCGGGGGUAAAAACUCCGGUGGUAUGAGAUGGACCCGCGUUCGAUUAGCCAGUUGGCGGGGUAACGGCCCACCAAAGCGACGAUCGAUAGCCGAUCUGAGAGGAUGACCGGCCACAUUGGGACUGAGACACGGCCCAAACUCCUACGGGAGGCAGCAGUGGGGAAUAUUGCACAAUGGGGGAAACCCUGAUGCAGCGACGCCGCGUGAGUGAAGAAGUAUUUCGGUAUGUAAAGCUCUAUCAGCAGGGAAGAAAAUGACGGUACCUGAGUAAGAAGCCCCGGCUAACUACGUG